UCCUGGCUCAGGAUGAACGCUGGCGGCGUGCCUAACACAUGCAAGUCGAGCGAUUCUCUUCGGAGAAGAGCGGCGGACGGGUGAGUAACGCGUGGGUAACCUGCCUCAUACACAUGGAUAACAUACCGAAAGGUAUGCUAAUACAGGAUAAUAUAAGAGAUUCACAUGGAUUUCUUAUCAAAGCUCCGGCGGUAUGAGAUGGACCCGCGUCUGAUUAGCUAGUUGGUAAGGUAACGGCUUACCAAGGCGACGAUCAGUAGCCGACCUGAGAGGGUGAUCGGCCACAUUGGAACUGAGACACGGUCCGAACUCCUACGGGAGGCAGCAGUGGGGAAUAUUGCACAAUGGGCGAAAGCCUGAUGCCAGCAACGCCGCGUGAGUGAUGAAGGCCUUCGGGUCGUAAAACUCUGUCCUCAAGGAAGAUAAUGACGGUACUUGAGGAGGAAGCCCCGGCUAACUACGUGCCAGCAGCCGC
rnacentral:rRNA from 1 species